rnacentral:lncRNA from 1 species
AGAACUUGGUGGGGAAUUUGAGGAAGAUCUUGGUGUACACUGCCAUAUCAAAUCGGUAGAUGGCGAUGAUCUUCCAAGCCUGCAGGUCGAUCGUCCAUGCAGUUCAACACACGCACAAAAUAAAACAAAUAAUCAGGGCCUCGUGAUUUGACAAGCAAUUAAUUGCAGAUCUGGUGAUGUUAAUUGGGAUGUGCAAGUAGAAACCGACAGGCAGUUGCGGCUUGAACUGGAUGAGGUCGCUCUGCAGGACGCCCAGGCUUGUGGACACGAUGACGUAGUCCCCGCUGUACGCAGAGUUGUCCUCCGUCCUCACCACCACGCCCUUCCGGUUGUAGGAGAUCUCUCGGACCACCUGCACGAAAGGUAUGUAUAUCCACCAAAUUAAUCAACAUCAAAUCAUAUAGGAGUAUAUUAAUUCCUCUAAAAUAAAUACUGAAAAUACAGCUUGUGGUUUUCCUUUGGCAUCUCUUGUACAGCUAGUGCGCGCGAUAGAUAUGUCAUACGGUUUCGCUAUAUCUAAGUCGUAUGAUUUUUAGUUAGAAAUAAGUUGAUUUCUCAAUAAUUGUAUAUGGUCUUGUUCUUUAAAAUUCGGAACGAACCAUGAAAAGAGAAGAGUGAGAUGGUAUCCAAAUAAUAAUCUAACCGUUCUGAUACGUCAACCGAGAUUUAAACCUUUUCGUUGAGAAAAUCAAGCGACUGAGAUACACCAACACCAAUUGUCAUAAGUUCAUGUCGAAAUCAAUCAAUCUCAGCUUAAUUUCUUUUUUUUUUUGAGGGGAAACAGUGCAAAUUUUAUUACUCCAUAAAUAAUUAUUGGUUUAAUAUAUUCACCAGAUCUCUUGAUCGAUGAGGUUGGUUUUUAGUUAAAUUAUUAAUCAAUUGCUGUUUAAUGACGCAGAUUUUUACAUAAUGUAAGAGUCGUAAGUACAAAUAAACCUUGUUGAGCUUGAGCCUUGGAUCAACGAUGUUCCCGGACUUGCGGUCGGAGCUGAGGUACUGCCUUGCGAUGUGGUAUAUGAUGGCCUCGAAGCCGCG